GCGGAGGAAAAGAAAAUAACAAUGAUUUCCCUAGUAACGGCGAGUGAAGAGGAAAGAGCUCAAAGUUGGAACCUGUUUGGCUUAGCUAAACCGGAUUGUAAACUGUAGAAGUGUUUUCCUGACACGCCUGGUAAAAAAGUCCUUUGGAACAGGGCAUCAUAGAGGGUGAGAAUCCCGUGUUUGGCCAGAGCUGUUGUCUUUUGUGAUACAUUUUCAAAGAGUCAGGUUGUUUGGGAAUGCAGCCUAAAUUGGGUGGUAAAUCUCACCUAAAGCUAAAUAUUUGCGAGAGACCGAUAGCGAACAAGUACCGUGAGGGAAAGAUGAAAAGAACUUUGAAAAGAGAGUUAAACAGUAUGUGAAAUUGUUAAAAGGGAACCGUUUGGAGCCAGACUGGCUUGACUGUAAUCAAUCUAGGCUUCGGCCUGGAUGCACUUGCGGUUUAUGCCUGCCAACGACAAUUUUUUUUGAGGGAAAAAACUAUUAGGAAUGUGGCCCCUCUCGAGGGGUGUUAUAGCCUUUUAGAAAAUACCUUGAAUUGGAUUGAGGAACGCAGUGAAUGCCUUUAGGCAAGAUUGCUGGGUGCUUUCGUUAAUAAAUGCUAGAAUUUCUGCUUCGGGUGGUGCUAGUGUUUAAAGAUGGAACUCGCCUAGUAUAUUUUUUAUUCGCUUAGGUUGUUGGCUUAAUGACUCUAAAUGAC
rnacentral:rRNA from 1 species